AGUUUGAUCAUGGCUCAGAGUGAACGCUGGCGGCGUGCUUAACACAUGCAAGUCGAACGGUAACAGAUACUUCGGUAUGCUGACGAGUGGCGCACGGGUGAGUAAUAUAUAGAUAAUGUGCCCCUUAGUCUGGGAUAGCCAUUGGAAACGAUGAUUAAUACCGGAUACUCCUUUUCAACAUAAGUUGGAUUGGGAAAGUUUUUCGCUAAGGGAUCUGUCUAUAUCCUAUCAGUUUGUUGGUAGUGUAAGAGACUACCAAGACUAUGACGGGUAGCGGGUUUGAGAGGAUGAUCCGCCACACUGGUACUGAGACACGGACCAGACUCCUACGGGAGGCAGCAGUGAGGAAUAUUGCACAAUGGAGGAAACUCUGAUGCAGCAACGCCGCGUGGAGGAUGGCGCAUUUCGGUGUGUAAACUCCUUUUAUAUGUCAAGAAAAUGACGGUAGCAUAUGAAUAAGCACCGGCUAACUCCGUGCCAGCAGCCGCGGUAAUACGGAGGGUGCAAGCGUUACUCGGAAUCACUGGGCGUAAAGGACGCGUAGGCGGGAAGUCAAGUCUGAUGUGAAAUUCUAUGGCUCAACCAUAGAACUGCAUUGGAAACUGGCUACCUAGAGUAUGGGAGGGGGAGAUGGAAUUAGUGGUGUAGGGGUAAAAUCCGUAGAUAUCACUAGGAAUACCGAAAGCGAAGGCGAUCUCCUGGAACAUAACUGACGCUGAGGCGUGAAAGCGUGGGGAGCAAACGGGAUUAGAUA
rnacentral:rRNA from 1 species